CCCCUAGAUGUUCUGGGCCGCACGCGCGCUACACUGAACAGUUCAACAAGUCUUAACCUUGGCCGAUAGGUCUGGGUAAUCUUUGAACGCUGUUCGUGAUUGGGAUAGACCUUUGCAAUUAUGGGUCUUCAACGAGGAAUUCCUAGUAAACGCAAGUCAUCAGCUUGCAUUGAUUACGUCCCUGCCCUUUGUACACACCGCCCGUCGCUCCUACCGAUUGGAUGAUCCGGUGAGCUAUUCGGACCUUCGCUUCGUCGAUUUUCGGCUUUGUGAGGGAAAGUCUCGCGAACCUUAUCAUCUAGAGGAAGGAGAAGUCGUANCA
rnacentral:rRNA from 1 species